rnacentral:misc_RNA from 1 species
UUUCGCAUUUAUGUAUCGCUUAGACUCGCGUAAUAAGAAUGUAAAGCCUCUGGCGGGCGCUCGCCAGCAGGGCCGGCGGCAGAGCGCGGCCCGCCAAAGCAACUGGGUUUGUUCGCACAGGGUGGAGAUGCUCCCGGAGGAGUACUCUGUAAUGAUCCUUCCGCAGGUUCACCUACGAAAA